rnacentral:rRNA from 1 species
ACUAUAGUGGCGCACGGGUGAGUAACACGUAGCUUACCUCCCUCUCAGCGCGGGAUAACGGCUCGAAAGAGCUGCUAAUACCGCAUAAGCUCACGGUUUCCAGAGAAUUGUGAGAAAAGGCGAAAGUCACUGAGAGACGGGGCUGCGGCCCAUCAGCUAGUUGGUGCGGUAAUGGCGCACCAAGGCGACGACGGGUAGGGGACCUGAGAGGGUGACCCCCCACACUGGGACUGAGACACGGCCCAGACUCCUACGGGAGGCAGCAGUGAGGAAUAUUGCACAAUGGGCGCAAGCCUGAUGCAGCGACGCCGCGUGGGUGAAGAAGGUCUUCGGAUCGUAAAGCCCUUUUCUGCGUGACGAGAGAGGACGGUAGCGCAGGAAUAAGUCUCGGCUAACUACGUGCCAGCAGCCGCGGUAAAACGUAGGAGACGAACGUUAUCCGGAGUUACUGGGCGUAAAGGGCGUGUAGGCGGUUUGUUAAGUCUGGCGUGAAAGCUCUCGGCUAAACCGGGAGAGGUCGUUGGAUACUGGCAAACUGGAGGGUGGUAGAGGCGUGUGGAAUUCCGGGUGUAGUGGUGAAUGCGUAGAGAUCCGGAGGAACACCAGUGGCGAAGGCGACACGCUGGGCCAUACCUGACGCUAAAGCGCGACAGCAUGGGGAGCAAACGGGAUUAGAAACCCCGGUAGUCCAUGCCGUAAACGAUGCCAGCUAGAUGUUCAGAGGGCGCAAGCCGUCGGGGUAUCGAAGCAAACGCGAUAAGCUGGCCGCCUGGGGAGUACGGUCGCAAGGCUAAAACUCAAAGGAAUUGA